UUUUGUAAACUUUUUUUUUAACUUCGAAGGAAUAUGCAGGGAUCAAACUUUGUUGAAAAAGCAGUUGAUGUUGCGACUAAUGAAUUGCUUGCUAUAGCAACCCCCGGUCAGGGUAGGAUACCGACGUACUUAAACUAUUCUCUCUCUCUCUUGCUACCUGUAGACAUCUUUAUGCAGAUAACUCAGUCCGGUCUAAACUUUUACAUGUUUUCAGUGACUGAACUUGAACUUACUUGGGCGAAAAAUGCAACUAAAUCAGCUGUUUUCAUGAACCUAGAAUCCAGGGUAAUAAAAAGCUGCUCCUACCCAUACUUGGUUUUUCUUGGUUUUCAUAGUAAACUUCUUUUGUUGUUUUUCUUUAAUUUUCUUUCAGGCAAUCGUUACAGAGGACAUAGGAAGGCAAAUUUUGACUUACAGGUGCAGGUAAAUUUGCUCUUAUCUCUUCUUUUGGACAUUUUUGGAGAAACUCCAGUAUUUAGGCUCAUCAUGUUCAUCAGUAUUAUUUAUUUAAUUUUUCAGGAAACCAGUCGAGCAUUUUCUAAAAUGUAUAGAUGAACUAAAUCUCAACGACCUCACUACAAUGGCUCAAAGAAUUUUAUCUUCACCGCUCACAAUGGCAUGCUGGGGAGAUGGUUAGCUUCUCUGUUCCUCCUUUUUUCUUUUUCUUUUUUUUUAGGUAUUCUCUUGCCGUCUUCAAACAUUUUAAUUCUAUAUUCAGUUUAUUGGUGAAACAAUCACUGAUGUUCACUAACAAAACUUUUGCGCUUUACGCAGUUGACUCUUUUCCUCCUAUGAUUCUAUCGGUUGGCGUUUUCAGUCGUAGCACUGGUAAAAGGCGAAGUUAAUUUGAUAAGUAUUGGGAGUUGUGUGGAAAAUUCAUCUGCUAGUAAUUGCAGUGUUAUAGAAAAUAUUUCGCGAUGGCUAUCUCUGACAUUCAUUGGCUUCAAAAGUGGAAGAGCUUCAGCAUUCGAGUAAAGGAGGUGUAGAUGCUGCUAACAGCGAUCAAAUGAUUUAUAUCUCUCAUCUGAGAAAGUCGGCAGUGUGCAGCAAUGAACUGAUGAAAAUUUUGUUUCUUCCUUUUUUUUCCAACUAACUUUAAUUCCAUUAAAAACUCCAAGUUGCUGUUGUUUGUUCUUUUCAAAUUUGCCUGAUUAGCUUUUUGUGUUUUGUAUUGCCCAAACAAUUUCUCUGUUUAUAGUAAAUUCUUGCUCUGUUUCAAAGUUUUGAGGUAUGGAAUGAUUACUACUCGUGACAGUAGGGAGCCUGCUAAACUGGUGGAUGAAUUGCAAAAGUGCAUAGUUCUUUUUGUUUACAUGACGAGUAAAAGUCUCAUGCUCUGCAACGAGAAUAAUGCUAUACUAGCGUAGUAAUUCGCGCGAUGCAACGGAUAAAUAAUUAAAAAUAAAAUAGAAAGUGUCGAUAAAAAAAAAUGAAACGGUCAUGAAAAAAAUGAUGAUAAGAGAUAAGAUUCAUCCCAGUGAUGAAUAAAGAUAACAGCUGAAGAAAGAGGAAGAGGAAGGAGUUGAGUUAUAAAGAUAACAGCUGAAGAAAGAGGAAGAGGAAGGAGUUGAGUUGGUUUGAGGUGGAGUCCAUGCACGACAAUGAAGAAAAAAAAUUUUGUGGCAAUUUUAGGAGAAAUAAUAUAUAGAUAUAGAUUAGUCCUUACGUAAAGAGUUAGAUGAUUGGUAUUUAAGGUUUAAAAUUCAAUGUCUGAUUGUUUUAAGUUUUUAUCAGAGUUUCUCUAUUAAGAAAGGAAUAAAGUGAAUAGAAU
rnacentral:lncRNA from 1 species